rnacentral:snoRNA from 1 species
AUGCAUCUCUGACAGACCUGGAACAGUUUAUGUCUGCUGCUAAGGAUUCUACUACAGAUGCAAGAUAAAAAGGUCCUUGCACUUUCUGUCAGCCUGGUUGCCAUAACCAAGAUUGAAUGGGGGAUUACAGGA